UCUGGUGUCAGCCGCCGCGGUAAAACCAGCACCUCAAGUGGUCAGGAGGAUUAUUGGGCCUAAAGCAUCCGUAGCUUGCUCUGUAAGUCUCCGGUUAAAUCCAUUAGCUCAACUAAUGGGCUGCCGGAAAAACUGCAAAGCUAGGAAGUGGGAGAGGUAGACGGUACUCGGUAGGAAGGGGUAAAAUCCUUUGAUCUAUUGAUGACCACCUGUGGCGAAGGCGGUCUACCAGAACACGUUCGACAGUGAGGGAUGAAAGCUGGGGGAGCAAACCGGAUUAGAUACCCGGGUAGUCCCAGCUGUAAACGAUGCAGACUCGGUGAUGCCCUGGCUUGUGGCCAGUGCAGUGCCGCAGGGAAGCCGUUAAGUUUGCCGCCUGGGAAGUACGUACGCAAGUAUGAAACUUAAAG
rnacentral:rRNA from 2 species